CACGUAGGGUGCAAGCGUUGUCCGGAAUCAUUGGGCGUAAAGAGCUCGUAGGCGGCUUAGUAAGUCGGGUGUGAAACCUCCAGGCUCAACCUGGAGACGCCACCCGAUACUGCUAUAGCUAGAGUCCAGUAGGGGAGUGCGGAAUUCCCGGUGUAGCGGUGAAAUGCGCAGAUAUCGGGAGGAACACCAGCGGCGAAGGCGGCACUCUGGGCUGGUACUGACGCUCAGGGGCGAAAGCGUGGGUAGCGAACAGG
rnacentral:rRNA from 1 species